CCUUGCUGAGUUCUACAAAGGCAACACUGUGACGAAGGAGGAGGAGGCUGAUGGGCUGUGCCUCUGGACUGAUGUAAGUAAGAAGGCAGCAAUGUUUUAUCCCAGACGUGAGCCAGCCUUGCAGGCGAAAAGAACCUUGAACUCCAACCUUGGACUUGGACUGAAUGAGAUGAGGAAUAACAGGGAUCAUGUUCCCGCAAUUUAAUGUAUUCAGCAGCUGGGCAAGACUUUUGGGCAGACGCCAAGGGCCCCACUCAGCAGAAUGAGCAAGAAGAUCCCCUGAGCACAGUAGGGUUGGCUUAUCCUAUUUUGAAAAUCAUUGUUUGUCAGCUGUCAGAGACAGGAAAAUCGGCCUGAUGUAUGGAUUCUCUGGCUCCGUUUAAAACUGGAACCUUCUUUGUCAGCAUCUGUGAUGUCUGCUCAUUCCCAGGUUCAAACCCCAGCAUCUCCAGGCAGGGCCAGUAUUUUGAACUUUCAAGCAAAUAAGGAACUGGGAACUAGGAACCAACUUCAGCUUUGUAUCAGACACAGCCCCUCCCAGCCGAUCCUCUUGAACCCCUGGACAUCCCCUCCUUUGUGGAUCAGACCUAUGUAGUCAUACUCUGCGGGCUCAUUGAGCAGAAGAGCUUGAUAGAAAUACUAACGACAACUGCGACAACAACAUCAUCAUCAGACAAUGCAGGCUGAGUUGUUGAAUGGGUCCAGAUAGUGUCCUUCCUUCCCACACAGAUGAGGCAGAAAAAGACUCACCACAUCAUUAGCCCUGUUUUCUUUAUGAUGGUUUCAUGGAUGCAUAUGCAACCAAGAAAGCGGGGGUGGGGGUGGGGGAGAGAAGGAAGGCUGCUAAUAUUAUUAUUAUUAUUAUUAUUAUUAUUAUUAUUAUUAUUAUUAUUAUUAUUAUUAUUUCAUUUAUAUACUGACUUUCCUCCUAAAGAGCCAAGGGUAGUGCACAGCAUAAAAAAACCUAAUAAUUGAAAUAUCUAAAAAUCACAACACUAACACACAAUAUAACCAAACAGUGUAAUAGCAGAAUUGUUGAAUCCCAGAGCCAGUUUGUGGCCCAAGUGUCCAGGCAAAUUGGUGUCUGAAUGUUAACAGUGUGGGGGAUAAUCACACUUCCUGGGGAAGGAGUUCCAUGAAUGGGGUGCUGCUACUGAGAAGGCCCUGUCUUGGACCACUGCCCCACAGGCCAUGUUUGCUACCAGGAUGACAAGCGGGGCCUCUCCUGCCAGUUUUAGAGCAUAGGCUGGUAGGUAUUGGCCCUAACCCUAACCCUAAGCAAUUUAAGGCUUUGUAUGUUAGUACCAUCCCCAAUACCAAUACUAAUACCAAUGUGGUGUAGAGUGUCAGACUGGGACCUGGGAGACCAGGGUUCAAAUCCCCGCUCAGCCAUGAAGCUCACUGGGUGACUUUGGCCCAGUCACUGCCUCUCAGCCUAAAAUGGAGAGGGGGGAGAACCAUGUACACCACCUUGAGCUCCUUGGAGGAAAGGUGGGAUAUAAAUGUAAAAUAAAAAUAAAUAAUUGGAUUAGAAUGGGUAGCUCAUAGGCAGCUGGUGCAGACUUUUGAGGACUGGUGUCAUAUGAUCCCAUCUAGCUGCCCCACUUAAUAGCCCAACACUGUUGUACACUAGCUAAAGCUUCAAAAUUGUCUUAAAGGGUAGCGCCACACAGAGGACAUAGCAUGAAUUACUGAGGCCAGGCUGUACUGAUCCAGGAACAGCCAUAGCUGGUGAACAUAUGGGCAUAAAGACUCCUUGCCACGGAGGUGCCCUGUGCCUCCACUGACAGGUUUGAAUCAAGUGCCCUCAGGAUGUAAUGUCCACAUCCCACUUCCCAUGGGAUAAAGGAGUGACUUUUGGAACCACUCAACAAGGAUGUUCUCAGAAUUAGAUCUUUGUGAAUUCCAAAACAAACUGCACUGAUACACUGAUAUACCUCCUGGACUAAUAGAGAGAUUAGAAUGGGUUAGUUAUCCACUGGCUUUUGCUCUUCCUAAAUG